rnacentral:rRNA from 1 species
GAUGAACGCUAGCGGCAGGCCUAACACAUGCAAGUCGAGGGGCAGCACAGAAACAGCAAUGUUUUGGUGGCGACCGGCGGACGGGUGCGUAACGCGUAUGCAACCUACCUUUAACAGGGGGAUAACGGAGAGAAAUUUCCACUAAUAACCAAUAACAUAGAUCAUGGCAUCUUGAUUGGUUGAAAACUCCGGUGGUUACAGAUGGGCAUGCGUUGUAUUAGGUAGUUGGUGAGGUAAUGGCUCACCAAGCCUACGAUACAUAGGGGGACUGAGAGGUUAGCCCCCCACACUGGUACUGAGACACGGACCAGACUCCUACGGGAGGCAGCAGUGAGGAAUAUUGGUCAAUGGGGGCAACCCUGAACCAGCCAUGCCGCGUGCAGGAAGACGGCUCUAUGAGUUGUAAACUGCUUUUAAACAGGGAUAAAGCACAGUAUGUAUACUGUGUUGAAGGUACUGUAAGAAUAAGGAUCGGCUAACUCCGUGCCAGCCGCCGCCGUAA